rnacentral:sRNA from 1 species
UUGAUGUCUCCGAUCUUCAUCGCAUCAGG